GACGUAGGGCGCGAGCGUUGUCCGGAUUUAUUGGGCGUAAAGAGCUCGUAGGCGGCUCAUUGCGUCAAUCGUGAAAUCCUGUGGCUCAACUACAGGCUUGCGGUUGAUACGGGUGGGCUGGAGUUCGGUAGGGGAGACUGGAAUCCCUGGUGUAGCGGUGAAAUGCGCAGAUAUCAGGAGGAACACCGGUGGCGAAGGCGGGUCUCUGGGCCGAUACUGACGCUGAGGAGCGAAAGCGUGGGGAGCAAACAGG
rnacentral:rRNA from 1 species